rnacentral:rRNA from 1 species
UACGUCGGGUGCGAGCGUUAAUCGGAAUUACUGGGAGUAAAGCGUGCGCAGGCGGCUUUGCAAGACAGAUGUGAAAUCCCCGGGCUCAACCUGGGAACUGCAUUUGUGACUGCAAGGCUAGAGUACGGCAGAGGGGGAUGGAAUUCCGCGUGUAGCAGUGAAAUGCGUAGAUAUGCGGAGGAACACCAAUGGCGAAGGCAAUCCCCUGGGCCUGUACUGACGCUCAUGCACGAAAGCGUGGGGAGCAAACAGG